GACGAACGCUGGCGGCGUGCUUAACACAUGCAAGUCGAACGGAAAGGCCCUGCUUGCAGGGUACUCGAGUGGCGAACGGGUGAGUAACACGUGGGUGAUCUGCCCUGCACUUCGGGAUAAGCUUGGGAAACUGGGUCUAAUACCGGAUAGGAGCCAUCUUUAGUGUGGUGGUUGGAAAGUUUUUUCGGUGUAGGAUGAGCUCGCGGCCUAUCAGCUUGUUGGUGGGGUAAUGGCCUACCAAGGCGGCGACGGGUAGCCGGCCUGAGAGGGUGUACGGCCACAUUGGGACUGAGAUACGGCCCAGACUCCUACGGGAGGCAGCAGUGGGGAAUAUUGCACAAUGGGCGCAAGCCGGAUGCAGCGACGCCGCGGGGGGGAUGAAGGCCUUCGGGUUGUAAACUCCUUUCGCUAGGGACGAAGCUUUUUGUGACGGUACCUAGAUAAGAAGCACCGGCUAACUACGUG
rnacentral:rRNA from 1 species